CCUCGAACUCAGCGUUGAGCAGCCAAUCGCACUCGAGGUCCUUCUUGGAAAGGGGGUGCAAGCGCGCCCAGCCGACCUUGCCGACCAUGAGCUCCAUCGCUGAGGCAGGGUUUCGAUCGGGCCUGGCCAGUUCCCAUCGUUCAACGACGAGGUCACGAAUCCGCUCAUAGUCUCCGUCGGCCUUCCUCGGUGGCUGCGCCUCGAUCGCUGCGUACGUUUCCAAUAUCAAGUCAGACAUCGAAGAAAUGGUCUCGUCUGUUCGUGUGGAGUGGGACGCGAGGGCGAAUACAGUCUCAGCUGUCGUUCUUGCGAUCAGAUGUAAAGAAGCGAACAUAGCUUCAAUUCGUUCUAGCUCACGCCCGGUGGGCCUCGCUACAUUCUGCAUUCCCUCUGCUCGGCCUAGCGUCCGUGCCCAAUCGACGAGGAGCCUCACGUGUUCUGGGCGCUGGUACAACUCGUCGUAAAUGUCUGGCUCCACCAAUGCCGCCAGUGCGGCCGUAGGUUGAUUCCGCCCGAGUAGGGCAUUGGCUCGCAUAGUGCCGAGCCACACCUUACGAAUGUUCAGGUAGCCUUCGUCGGAGCCAUCGGGGACAUCCGUCUGUGUGUCAGGAGUCGGAAAGUCAUCCGGACGACGCGCACCGCUUGCGUCGAAUUGAUCCGGCUCCAUCCAGGCCAGGACUGCCUCCAAGGGCGCCCAUUCGUUCGCGUCGCGCAGAAGCUCAGCUACUUCACUUCCGCAGGACCAGUGACACGGAGGGUCGCUUAGGAACUCGCGGUCAAUAACUGAAGACAGCUGGUGAGCCUGAGAUUCGAGUCCGAAGCGGACAAGAACCUCCCUCGACGUGUACAUAUCGUUUAUCGGGCAGAUCCCGUCGCCGACGGUCACGGCGAUGUCGUAGAGGCUAUGAAUGUGGUACGACGGCAGGAAGUAUCGGAUCGCGCCCACCAGUUCAGAGAGCAGAUAGCUGAUUUUCGAUGCGACCUCCGCGGCCGACUCCGAGCUUCCUACGCGAAGGGCGCUUGAAAGCGCCGAACGAUAGUAGGCCACCAAUGGGCCGUCGGGCUGGUCUACGAGUCCUGACCAACUGACGAGGUCCCCAGGAACCAAACCUUCGACCGGGUCGUCCUCAAAUAACUGUGUGCGCAACCGAGGUGGGUGCCACUCCCCGGGUGAACCUGUAGUCCGCACAACGGCAGUAGGAUCGAAUGCUUCGGUCGACACAAGGUCGCAGAACGUCUCGGCCAUCGCCCACUCGCCCGACCGAACCGCAGCUACCAAUUGUGCGACGAGAAUCACCCAGGGCAGGAACGUUUGGACGGCGAACUGUCCCUCGAGCAGAUCUUCAUCGCUUCGCGUGAGGGAGGUUCGCGCAUCGACGAAGGACUCCAGGCCGUCGCGCAGACUUGUCUGUUGGAGAUCCUCCAGUAGCGCCGCAUGCAAACGACCGAUUUCAUCGCGGUCAAGAGCAAGUACGCUCGCGAACGUGGAGUCCGUCCGCAACAGAGAACGCGACCUCGGCCACGGAAGCACGAGCCGGUCAGUCAUCGCCCGGCACUCUACCAGAGAUAUUCGAGUCCAGAGGAGUUAUGACGAGUCCAUUCCAUCGUUUAGAAGUCGUCCCCCGCCAAGCGAAGACCCCCUACGAGAGAGCGCCAAUCGCUUAAGACGCAGACUAGAGUCGCACAGUGAUGGGGAGGGCGGAGUUCCGACCAAGACGCAGCGUGCCGACUGUCCUGUAAGGUUCUUGGCGUGAAACGAAGAGCGCUUGCGCCGGUCUUCUCUCUGGCCCUCGGACUCGCGGGCUUUUUCGGAAUCUUGGCAGGUGGAUUUGGUUAUCGUGCUGGCGGAGACGCCCAGAUUGGCUACACCCUGUCCCUUCCAGGAAUGCCCGGUCCGGUCAGGACGUACCACCAACAGCCUCGGGAACCUCGUCGGAAAGGAUCUGCGUGAUAUCGCCAUGCGACUCGCCCU
rnacentral:misc_RNA from 1 species